UUUCACACCACACAUGAACAACACCCAUCAAGAGGAACUCCCACCCCUACCCAGACUAAUCCAAGAUCGGAGAUAGGUGAGACGGAGAGAACGAGAGACAGCACUAGGGCAAAAUCCGAGGAGAGGAAUUAGGAGAGGGAGAAUGGCGUUGGUCUGGUUUGAAGCGACUCUUCCUCUGGAAUCAUUGCUGGAAUGAUCUGCAUCAUGGCCGAAGCACAUAUGUAACGGGGGGAUGUGACUAUACAGAGAAGGGACACGAAGCUGCCUCAUUAAAUUAGCCCUAAUCCCUGUUGAGCAAGGGCAGGAUGCUGGUGCUUCUGGGUUUGAAGGAAGAGUAUUGAGCAUGCAAAUGGUUUGAGGCAAUUUGCUUGCUCAUGAAUCAUAAUCGUCAGCCAUUGCGCCCAAAACUGGCCUCUGAUGUGAUGACUUUGUGGGGAACUUGCUACUUUUUGUGCAUAUUGUCAACAAAUAAGAUUUUAGGAUCAAGGUGCAUUGGUUACAAGCUCUAAAAAAAUAGCAUUCUUGCUGCCUGGUCUUGACUUACACAUUGGGUCAAUGUGCUUUGAAUUAAUAUGGAAUUUGAAAUUUUGGCUUUGCAAAAUAAUGUGGGUGCAUUAGGGGUGAUCUUGAUAAUCUACUUGGAGCUUGAUUGGAAGUAAGAGUCUGUUCUGUUUCAAAGCAACUCUUGGAAAGAUUAUAGUGGGGUCUUGAUGUUUGGGAA